rnacentral:misc_RNA from 1 species
GAUAUUCCGUCGUCUGCUGCUCAACACGUUGUUAUUUCUGAAAAGUUCAUUCCUUCGUUGCAAUUUAAGAUUAAAGAUUUGAAGCUAUCGAAACAAAAUGGAAGAAACGACACCAGAUAAUAUUGCAAAAGAUAAAAUAGCUGAAACAGCCUUGGUCUCACGAGCCAAUCCCGACAGAAAAGUGUAUGGUGCGACGACAGGAAAAAUCAGGGUUAUGAACCAGAUUCCAGAUGACAUACUGAACGAUAAAAAAUUAGCAGCAGCAAUCGAACUUCUUCCAAGUAAUUAUUCCUUUGAAAUUCAUAAAACGGUGUGGAGAAUCCGCCAAGUUGGGGCUAAAAGAGUAGCUUUGCAAAUGCCAGAAGGGUUGCUCAUGUUUGCUUUGACAAUCUCAGACAUUAUAGAAGAGUUUUGUCAAGCUGAAACUGUGAUAAUGGGGGAUGUUACCUAUGGAGCCUGUUGUGUUGAUGAUCGAACAGCCAUAGCUCUAGGAGCUGACUUAAUGAUUCACUAUGGACAUUCAUGUUUAAUUCCAGUGGAUCAGACUAGUGGAAUCAAAAUGCUUUACAUUUUUGUUGAUAUAAAAUUUGAUUCACAACAUUUCAUUGAAACAAUUAAGCUUAACUUUGACAAAGAAACCAGAUUGUCAUUUGUGAGUACCAUUCAGUUUGUGGCCUCACUACAGAGCUUGGUGAUGCUGCUUAAGAGUGAAGGAUAUAUUGCCAGUACACCCAAAUCUUCACCAUUGUCGCCAGGCGAAAUUCUGGGCUGUACGUCUCCUUCAAUAGACACAGACGUCAUCAUUUAUCUUGGAGACGGAAGAUUUCAUCUUGAAUCGGCAAUGAUAGCGAAUCCAGAUUGCAGAGCAUACAAGUACGAUCCUUACAAUAAAGAAUUUACGCAAGAGUUUUAUGAACAUGACCAGAUGAAGACCAACAGAAAAGCAGCCAUAAACACAGCUACAAAAGCCUCUAGAUUUGGUUUAAUCUUAGGGACACUGGGCCGACAAGGAAGUCCAAAAGUGCUGAACGAAAUCAAAGAGAAAGUGCUGAAAUCGAACAAGGAAUUCGUUACCAUAUUGAUGUCGGAAAUAUUUCCGUCCAAACUAGCGCUUAUGCCCAGCGUCGAUGCAUGGGUUCAAAUUGCAUGCCCAAGACUUUCAAUUGAUUGGGGUCUUGCUUUUGCCAAGCCACUCUUGACGCCUUACGAAAUCAAUGUGGCGCUGAAAGAGGUGGAAUGGAAGGACACGUACCCCAUGGAUUUCUAUGCCUAUGAAAGUUUAGGAGCAUGGACACCCAAUUACAAACCAAAAUGUGAAAAGAAAAAAACUGUCGACAGAAAAUGAAUUUAGGUCCUCUUCUGCACUUACCUCUCGCACUUAUUUUCUUGGGGAAUGGGACCUAGGAUCGCUAGGAUCACCCGACUGUACAGCCCUUCUGUUAGUACCUUGCUAACGCAGGUAGAUAAAAAUUUUGUAUUUUCCCUCUUUUUAUCCUUUUUGUUUUGGCCACUAGAUGCCAAUAGGUGCACCUUUUAGUUAAUAUAUCCGCAUCUCUCUUUCUUAUGUUCAAACCGAGAAUAUUACGUUUAUGUAUAACAUUGAUCGACGAAUUCAUAAUGUGAGUUGAACACAGGAUAUUGAAAUUUGAAACAUUGAUUUAUUUCAUAUGUUCAUGUUCAUUUACUACAUAAUUUCUGUCCCAGGCUUUAUAAAGUUCUUUCAGGGCCUCUUCGACUCAUUCGAUGUGCUUGACAAUUUCUAGCAAAAAUCUGGUUAAUUUAAAAUCCGAUAAACUUUCUGCGCGCGCGCGCUUUUCUCCCACUAGGACUGGUCAGUUUUGAAUUAAAAACUAAAAACAGUUUGACAUGUAGGCUUGCCUGAUUCACGUGAGUAAUAUGGGUUCUCCACUACAAUUAAGCUCCCAUGAAAAUUACUAUCGAAACACGGGAUUGUAUCUAUUAGAAGUAAACACACAUACGUGGUAGGUGCUCCUUCGGGUGAAACAAAAAAAAUUGUAUCGAAAUAAGAGCUAGUGUUUCCAACCGCAAUUGAUCAAUGUCACGUGCAGGAAAACCCCUAAAGUCUGAAACUACAGCAAAAACCACAGCAGCAAAAAAGUUCUUCUACGAAAAAAAAAGGUAAAUUUUACCUUCUUCUCUUUCUGUAUUUUUCUUGUGAUUCAUCGUCUUCCAUGCAUGUAUAACUUCCUGGUAGUUCGUUACGAAAUUCGUUGCCAUCAUCUCGUGGCUUAAUCUCUCAUUUACAUUUGAAUUAGUAGGACACCGUUGCGUUGGGCGUUGGCCAACGAAAUUCGAUUAGCAUUUCAAACCGGUCACAAUCGUGUGAACAUUCGUCAUCAGGAUUCUCUAGCAUGUGGACAUAGCGGCUACUAUACUAUUCAUUUUUGAAAGAUUGUAGAGCCCUAGAGCAGUGUGAAAAGAACAUCAGCUUCACCUUAUAUGGAUAGAACUAUACAAGUCAACGACCGCAUUUGCCUCAUUGUUUUAGCAUUGAUAUAAAAUGCGUAAACACUUGUAGGGCGUAUAAUUAUUAAUUUCAUUCUUUUAUGCGUAUCGACAAGAGCAUUGGUCAGGAAACCAAAAUUACUAUUUAGUUCCCCCCAAGGAGAACCCCUCCAACCUAUGGAGAUACGCACUUUCAUUUUGAAUCUCGUUCGGAAUCAACUCGAUAAAUAGUUUGCUUUUUAUUCCCCUGUGGAAAUGCAUAUUUUAACCCUAAGUUGUUUUUACUUCGAUAAAAAAUAAAUCGAAAAUCGGUACCACAAGUCGUUUUUAUGUUAAUCACGAAAUGAUAUAACGAAGUCACGACAAUAAAGUUCACGGUUAUACUGAUUGGAAA